rnacentral:rRNA from 1 species
UUGGAGGGCAAGUCUGGUGCCAGCAGCCGCGGUAAUUCCAGCUCCAAUAGCGUAUAUUAAAGUUGUUGCAGUUAAAAAGCUCGUAGUUGAAUUUCGGGAUCAAUAUGUUGGUCGUGCCUUGGUACGUACUAAUUUAUUGGUUUCUUCCUUCUGACGAACCAUGAUGUCAUUAAUUUGGUAUCUUGGGGAAUCAGGACUGUUACUCUGAAAAAUUAGAGUGUUUAAAGCAGGCUCACGCUUGAAUACAUUAGCAUGGAAUAAUGAAAUAGGACGUUUGAUUCUAUUUUGUUGGUUUCUAGGAUCGACGUAAUGAUUAAUAGGGAUAGUUGGGGGCAUUAGUAUUCAAUUGUCAGAGGUGAAAUUCUUGGAUUUAUUGAAGACUAACUACUGCGAAAGCAUUUGCCAAGGAUGUUUUCAUUAAUCAAGAACGAAAGUUAGGGGAUCGAAGACGAUCAGAUACCGUCGUAGUCUUAACCNUAAACUAUGCCGACUAGGGAUCGGAUGAUGUUAAUUUUUUAAUGACUCAUUCGGC